UGGGGAGUUUACACCAGACACCAUGUGGGCUUAGCCUGUGUCUCCUUCUCUUCCCCAUGGCCUAAUCCAAAUCCCAGUGAAAAGCUCGCUAACAGCGACAGCCAUGAAAAUGAAUGAUUUGGCUUCACCCAAAAUGAUGGAUAAUCCUGCUGGAAGAGCAUGACAAUGAUAGACAGACAUCUUCUGAAGGAGAAGAUCACUCCAAGAUAUGAUUUGUUGAAAAUGUAUGCAUGCUUUUCAGAAGACAUGGGAGAAGCCCAGGAGAAUCUUACAUGGAUUGUUCGUGCUGCCCAGGAUUUCCCUCACAGAGAAUUGGUGGCGUCACCCUUUAACAGUUUUGUUCCCUGAAAUCCCUCUUUUGAAAAUUAACAAAGGCAAAUAACUUCAGUCUCCUCCUUCCUGUAGAGGAGGGAAACUGGAAAAGCAGUUGCAGGUCCUUGAUGCACAGAUAACUCCACCAUAUCCCCUGUUAGAUGUUAAAUGCUGCAAAUCCCAUCUGAGAUGCAAUGAGACAAGAAGUCGCUGCCCACCAGUGCUCCUGGGGUGUGCCACACAUGGAAGUGCCUUGAAGUUUUCACAGGACAUGAAUAUGGGGCAGGGGGAUGAUCACUGCAUGCCAAGUCACCAAAUGCCAAAUUAAGAAGGACCAUCUGGAGGAAGAAAUUUUCCUGUGUUCCUCUGUUAGUCUUGAGAAGUUGCAUCUUGCUGGACACUGCACUGAAAACCGUCCAGAAGCAUAUGAGACCAGAACCUGACCACUCCAUAAUUCAUAAAAUACAGUGUGAGGUAAAUAAAUGGCAUACACAUCUGGGAAGAGGCACUGGAAGUUUUCACUCCUUGCUCACCUCUCUCUCUUGCCACUGGGCUGAUCCACAGAGCUGGGCCAUCCAGGUUUGCCAUCCUGCCUGGAUCCAGCAGCUGCAGAGCCACAAAGUUGGGAUGGAUGUCCACUUUUAAUAGGAAGGAAAAAAACAAAGCAGGAAGGAGGAUUGUCACAGGUUUUUAGUCUCAAAUGCUUUUUAAACUGAUCAAGCUAUUUGGAAUGACUUGAAGUGAUCUGACUGAACAAAUUUCCCAGAAUCAGAGUCCUCAGACUGACAUUCUGGACCUAACCCCAUUUGCUGGCUCUUUCCAGAGGCAGGACUUUGGUACAAAUGGCACAGACAGGGCCCUCUCUCCCAUCAGCAAUGGAUUUGUGGCACUGAGAUGUCCAUGGGCAGCUGCUGGAUCACAACCUGAGGAUUCCUGCUGAGCUUCUUUUGUGGAAGAGCUGGCACAGACAGGAAGAAAAGCUGCUUUUAAGGAACAACUUGUCAUGGCACAAGGCUUCAUAAAGUUGACAGUGGCUCUCUAGGCAGCUACUGCUUUUGGUGGAAGAUCUCCAAACUGCUUAAGGUAUGUUUGAAAUAUUAAAAUAGAAAUGGUUGCUUUGUUUUCUGGCUGGCUCCAGCUUGAGCAUUAGGUCACAUCAAAGUCAAAGUGCAUUUUUAAUGAUCAGUGCUAGCUGGGGUGCUGAGCCUUGAGGAAUGGUGUGGGAAAGGGGAGAUCAGGACUAAAUUGGCUUCUCUUUAGGAUGCUGGAAAGAGAAAGUCAAGCAGGAAUGACCAGGGAGUGGCAAUGAUAAUGUUCCAUGGUUACUUUUCAGUGUAUCUCCAUCAGAAACAAAAACAAAAUUACUUCAUUGACACUAAACAGAUAAUCCAGCAUCCACGCCUGGAUUAUUAUAAAAAAUAGUAAUAAGAAAUAUAAUAAUAAAAAUAUAUGUGUGUAAAAAUGAAUAUUAUUCACAAUGUCUAGUUGGACUUCAGAUCAUUGUUGUAUUGUAUCCAAGUUUGAAGGUAAUGUCCUUAAUUGACCAUGAUUUCUUUCGUCCAACAGCUUGGCAAAUGACACAAUGGCAAGUCUUGGAUAAUUAAAUAAAUAUAUAUAAUUUAAUUCCCAGUAUUUCUCCAUUCCACUGUUCCAAAUAACCUUUAAAAACCACAUUUUCAAGGGAAUUAUAACUUUCUUUGUGUUAUGAGUAAUGCAAUAUUAAGCAUAUACCUCAGCUUUAUCUUUGAUGUGAGUGAUCAAAUACUCAUUGCCUUGAUUAUUCAAAUAAUUAGAUAUUUUAUAAUUUUCUUGAAAAGCUCAGAAGUAAAGUGCCAAACCCCUUGAAGGGCUGUUCAAUAUUUAGUUUACUGUCAGCAGAAGAAUCAUUGGGCAGGAGGAUACUGCAACAGGGGAAAAAAAGUAUUUGUUGCAGGAAGUCUCAGAUUUUCAA